rnacentral:rRNA from 1 species
GGAUAGAGGCCUACCAUGGUGGUAACGGGUAACGGGGUGUUAGGGCACGACACCGGAGAGGGAGCCUGAGAAACGGCUACCACAUCCAAGGAUGGCAGCAGGCGCGCAAAUUACCCAAUCCCGACACGGGGAGGUAGUGACAAUAAAUAACAAUACGGGGUUCUUUCGGAUCUCGUAAUUGGAAUGAGUACAAUUUAAAUCUCUUAACGAGGAACAAUUGGAGGGCAAGUCUGGUGCCAGCAGCCGCGGUAAUUCCAGCUCCAAUAGCGUAUAUUAAAGUUGUUGCAGUUAAAAAGCUCGUAGUUGAAUUUCGGGGUUAGUAGGUUGGUCAUGCCUCUGGUAUGUACUGAUCUCACUGAUUCCUCCUUCCUGAUGAACCGUAAUGCCAUUAAUUUGGUGUUGCGGGGAAUUUGGACUGUUACUUUGAAAAAAUUAGAGUGUUUAAAGCAAGCUAACGCUUGAAUACAUUAGCAUGGAAUAAUGAAAUAGGACGUUCGAUCCUAUUUUGUUGGUUUCUAGGAUUGACGUAAUGAUUAAUAGGGAUAGUUGGGGGCAUUAGUAUUCAAUUGUCAGAGGUGAAAUUCUUGGAUUUAUUGAAGACUAACUACUGCGAAAGCAUUUGCCAAGGAUGUUUUCAUUAAUCAAGAACGAAAGUUAGGGGAUCGAAGACGAUCAGAUACCGUCGUAGUCUUAACCAUAAACUAUGCCGACUAGGGAUCGGAUGAUGUAAUUUU